GCCCCCGUUGUCUAAUGGUUAUGAUAUCAGACUUCUACGACUUAGUCACAGUUCUAAAAUCUGAAGGUUGCGGGUUCGAGUCCCGCCGGGGGUU